GGCUCGUUGGUCUAGGGGUAUGAUUCUCGCUUUGGGUGCAAGAAGUCCCGGGUUCAAAUCCCGGACGAGCCC
rfam:Salmo salar isolate Sally breed double haploid chromosome ssa15, whole genome shotgun sequence.